CUUUAGUUAUCAUCACACCACUGACCCACAAUGCAACUGCACUUACAUUACAUCAAUUAACACUUCUGCUUCCUGGGCUUUCCUUUUGCACUGUGGGACAUGGGAGUUGUAGAGUACACCAGCAGGUAUCACAUGUACUGCCUCCUGGGCUUUCCUUUUGCACUGUGGGACAUGGGAGUUGUAGAGUACACCAGCAGGUAUCACAUGUACUGCCUCCUGGGCUUUCCUUUUGCACUGUGGGACAUGGGAGUUGUAGAGUACACCAGCAGGUAUCACAUGUACUGCCUCCUGGGCUUUCCUUUUGCACUGUGGGACAUGGGAGUUGUAGAGUACACCAGCAGGUAUCACAUGUACUGCCUCCUGGGCUUUCCUUUUGCACUGUGGGACAUGGGAGUUGUAGAGGACACCAGCAGGUAUCACAUGUACUGCCUCCUGGGCUUUCCUUUUGCACUGUGGGACAUGGGAGUUGUAGAGUACACCAGCAGGUAUCACAUGUACUGCCUCCUGGGCUUUCCUUUUGCACUGUGGGACAUGGGAGUUGUAGAGUACACCAGCAGGUAUCACAUGUACUGCCUCCUGGGCUUUCCUUUUGCACUGUGGGACAUGGGAGUUGUAGAGUACACCAGCAGGUAUCACAUUUAUUCACCCCCCUUUUGACUUUUUCCAUAUUUUGUUGUUUUACAGCCUGAAAAUAAAAUGGACUAAAUUAAGGGUUUGUGUCACGACCCUGGCCUACACACAAUACCCCAUAAUGUCAAUGUGGAAUUAUGUUUCUAUACAGUUUUACAAGUUGUCAAAAAAAAUAAUAGAUGAAAUAUCUUGAGUCAAUAAGUAAUCAAUCCCUUUUUUAAGGCAUACCUAAAUACGUUUGGGAGUGAAAAUGUGCUUAACGAAACACGAAGUAAGUUGCAUUGACUACCCCAUCUCUGUACCCCAAACAUACAAUUAUCUGUAUGGUCCCUCAAUUGACUAUUGAAUUUCAAUCACUCUUCAACCACAAAGACUAGAGAUGUUUUCCAAUGCCUUGUAAAGAAGGGCACUGAUUGGUAGACGUGUAAAAAUUAUAUAUAUAUA